GAUGAAGAACGUAGUGAAAUGCGAUAAGUAAUGUGAAUUGCAGAAUUCAGUGAAUCAUCGAAUCUUUGAACGCACAUUGCGCCCGCCAGUAUUCUGGCGGGCAUGCCUGUUCGAGCGUCAUUUCAACCAUCAAGCCCCAGGCUUGUGUUGGGGACCUGCGGCUGCCGCAGGCCCUGAAAACCAGUGGCGGGCUCGCUGUCACACCGGGCGUAGUAGAUUUUAUCUCGCUCAGGGCGUGCUGCGGGUUCCGGCCGUUAAAAAGCCUUUUUUACCCACGGUUGACCUCGGAUCAGGUAGGAAGCCCCGCUGAACUUAAGCAUAUCAAUCCGCGGAGGA
rnacentral:misc_RNA from 1 species